rnacentral:misc_RNA from 1 species
GUAACAAGGUUUCCGUAGGUGAACCUGCGGAAGGAUCAUUACCGAGUGCAGGUCUGCCCCCGGGCAGGCCUAACCUCCCACCCGUGAAUACCUGACCAACGUUGCUUCGGCGGUGCGCCCCCCCGGGGGUAGCCGCCGGAGACCACAUUGAACCUCUUGUCUUUAGUGUUGUCUGAGCUUGAUAGCAAACCUAUUAAAACUUUCAACAAUGGAUCUCUUGGUUCCGGCAUCGAUGAAGAACGCAGCGAACUGCGAUAAGUAAUGUGAAUUGCAGAAUUCAGUGAAUCAUCGAGUCUUUGAACGCACAUUGCGCCCCCUGGCAUUCCGGGGGGCAUGCCUGUCCGAGCGUCAUUGCUGCCCUUCAAGCCCGGCUUGUGUGUUGGGUCGUCGUCCCCCCUGGGGGACGGGCCCGAAAGGCAGCGGCGGCACCGCGUCCGGUCCUCGAGCGUAUGGGGCUUUGUCACCCGCUCGAUUAGGGCCGGCCGGGCGCCAGCCGGCGUCUCCAACCUUCUAUUUUACCAGGUUGACCUCGGAUCAGGUAGGGAUACCCGCUGAACUUAAGCAUAUCA